GAUGAACGCUGGCGGUGUGCCUAAUACAUGCAAGUCGAGCGAACAGACGAGGAGCUUGCUCCUCUGACGUUAGCGGCGGACGGGUGAGUAACACGUGGAUAACCUACCUAUAAGACUGGGAUAACUUCGGGAAACCGGAGCUAAUACCGGAUAAUAUAUUGAACCGCAUGGUUCAAUAGUGAAAGACGGUUUUGCUGUCACUUAUAGAUGGAUCCGCGCCGCAUUAGCUAGUUGGUAAGGUGACGGCUUACCAAGGCAACGAUGCGUAGCCGACCUGAGAGGGUGAUCGGCCACACUGGAACUGAGACACGGUCCAGACUCCUACGGGAGGCAGCAGUAGGGAAUCUUCCGCAAUGGGCGAAAGCCUGACGGAGCAACGCCGCGUGAGUGAUGAAGGUCUUCGGAUCGUAAAACUCUGUUAUUAGGGAAGAACAAAUGUGUAAGUAACUAUGCACGUCUUGACGGUACCUAAUCAGAAAGCCACGGCUAACUACGUG
rnacentral:rRNA from 1 species